UGGCUUAUAGUUCAACGGAUAGAACACUUCGCUACGAACGAAGUGAUACAAGUUCGAUUCUUGUUAAGCCAA
rnacentral:tRNA from 1 species